rnacentral:lncRNA from 1 species
UAACUAGAAAACCCAGUUUGUUACGAUAAGAAAACCUCAAAGAUAAAACAAUAAUUACGAUAAAUAAAAACGAUAAUUACCUCAAAAAUAAUUACGAUAAAAACCUCAAAGUAUGGAGAUUAGUAUUGAAGAAAGUUACGGAGUGACUGAUAAUUAUGAUCUUCAAACAGAAGUAAAUGAAUUUAGUGUGAAUGAAAAAGAACGCCAUUUAAAUGAAAGUUGCGAUUUAUCACUUUUAAAAUAUGAUAGUUCAGGUGUUGUCAAUAGUUCACAUAAACAUUCUCAAAGAACAACUUGGCUUACCUCCUCG